AGAAUAUCCGGCUAAAUGUUUGGACGUCUUGUUGGAUCACUUCCUUUUCAUUUUCUGAUCAUCUUUCGUUAGAUGAGAAUGCUAGUCAUCAUGACGAAUAAAUUGACUUGCUCGCAUCCAAUACUUCCUGAAAUCGGUUGAACAUGCUUUGGACAAAUUGAAUGAACAAAUUUUUUUACCAAAAUGAAAGAUGGUCCAGACAACGUUUUUCUUGUGAUCUUAUUACAAGAAACUGCUCCAAACCAAAUGCUGAAAUUGAAUCCAUUGUUCCUAAUGACUUAACGAUGAGAAAACAAGCAAAUCCACUAUCACCAUCAUUCACAGAUAAGAUGAAUAUUUAGAUGAAAACCAGGCCAAUCCACUAUUAUCAUCCAUAUCCAAUAUCAUGAAUAUUUAGAUUCAGUUCAAAAAUGAUGAGAUAUCACUGGAUGGUUUCAGGAUUUUCAAGUAACAUCAAAUUAUUCAAUGGUUUUUAAUGUUCAUGUUCCUAAGUGAUCAACUAUAUUGAAUGUUACUCAAUGAUGUUUAAUGUUCAUGUUCCUAAGUGAUCUACAAUAUUAAAUGGAAUUACAUUAGAAUAUUGAAGAAGAAGCUUGUCAAAUCUUGAUUAUGAACAUUUAUUUCAUGGUUUAUUCUCUGGAGGCACAAUCCGAUAUAGUUUGAAAAAUUACAUUUCCUAUGUAAUCGUCGUUACAUAAUGUUUCAAGUGGGGAACAACGUUUAAUUGAGCAGUACUCCAACCAAGUUAUAAGGAAACAACUUAGGAUAUUAUUGAGGAUGAAGAAUACCAUCUAUUAGUAUUGCUUGGACAAACCUACAUUUUUAAUAGAAUCUGAAUCCACUGUUAUGUAUGAAACGUCCUUUUAUUACUACUGAGUAACCAACAUUUUACAAUAACUUGAAAAGAUACAAGGAUGGAAGUAACCAACAAUUAUUCAGAUGACAUUUUAAAAUUAAUAUUGUAAACAAAAAAUACAUAUACAAUGGCUAUUGACUGCAGUUUUUCAGCCCCAUAAAAUUUUAAUAAAUUUUUAUUGUCUUAUUA